AUUGAACGCUGGCGGCAUGCUUUACACAUGCAAGUCGAACGGUAACAGGGUGCUUGCACCGCUGACGAGUGACGAACGGGUGAGUAAUGCGUCGGAACGUGCCGAGUAGUGGGGGAUAACGCAGCGAAAGUUGUGCUAAUACCGCAUACGUACUGAGGUAGAAAGUGGGGGACCUUCGGGCCUCACGCUAUUCGAGCGGCCGACGUCUGAUUGGCUAGUAGGUGAGGUAAAGGCUCACCUAGGCGACGAUCAGUAGCGGGUCCGAGAGGAUGAUCCGCCACACUGGGACUGAGACACGGCCCAGACUCCUACGGGAGGCAGCAGUGGGGAAUUUUGGACAAUGGGCGAAAGCCUGAUCCAGCCAUGCCGCGUGUCUGAAGAAGGCCUUCGGGUUGUAAAGGACUUUUGUCGGGGAGGAAAUCCCCAGCGUUAAUACCGCUGGGGGAUGACAGUACCUGAAGAAUAAGCACCGGCUAACUACGUGCCAGCCGCCGCCGUAAUAC
rnacentral:rRNA from 1 species